UUUUAACUGUGUCUCAGAGUGCAGGCACAGGUUGUUUUCCUGAAAGUCCAGCUGAGCUCAGGUUUACUUGUGGACCCUGGCCUCCAGCGUGCACCUUUUUUUGCUGAUGCCUGCCUGAAGACAGUCUUCUUCAUCGUGUGCCCUUUUUCAGCCCCUCAACGGCGCUGAAGGAGGGAGUGUGUGUCAUAUCUUGUUGAAAUGCCUUUGGUCAUAUUUCAGAGGAAUCUGUCUCUGCUGGCACCAUGAAAUUAUUCGCCUAGCCCCUGCGCAAGAAAAAAUGCUAGUUAGAGGCCGACCGCUUGCUUCUGAACGAUCAGACUUGUCAUGCCACUACGUCUGCCAUCGGCCCACUUAUGCUGGGAAUGUGUUGUUGGAGUCUGGAAGAAUGACGGGGAAGUUGGUCGUCAUGACGGGAGAGGCUGAGAAAGCCGUUCUGAUGUCUCACGGACGUGACAGCGGAUCUGAUGAAAGGAGGGGGCCACCGGCUGCAAGGAAUGGAAGACACCAUUUUGACUGUUUUGUGAACAAGAAAUGUUAUUCCCAUUUUAUUAACUGAAUAUUAUUUAAUAUAAAAAUAAGUUAUAUAAAAAAAAUAACUUGCAACAAAAUGUAAUGAUUAUGAAAUUGCUUCUAUUAUGCUGUAAAAUUAUUUCCGUAUUAUGAAAUUACAAUUUUUUUUGUGCUUAUGUGCUUGUCAUUUUUUUCAAUUUAGCUUUAUAAUCAGUUUUAUUUUGAAUAAUUUUAUUACUUCAGCUAUUUUUUUACAGUUAGUCACUAAAAAGAUUGUUUGCCAUCUGAUAUUUACAUUUCAUUACAUGUAAAAAAUGUUUAAUGUUUGUUAACAUUGACUGAAAAAUAAUUUUAUUAAUAUUAUAUUUACACUUUGUAAUGUUGUUUUUUCACAACCCAUAGGCAAAAUUGUUUUUAUCACUGUCACUCUAGGUGCAAUUAAUUUCA